rnacentral:rRNA from 1 species
AUUGAACGCUGGCGGCAGGCCUAACACAUGCAAGUCGAGCGGCAGCGGAAAGUAGCUUGCUACUUUGCCGGCGAGCGGCGGACGGGUGGGUAAUGUCUGGGAAACUGCCUGAUGGAGGGGGAUAACUACUGGAAACGGUAGCUAAUACCGCAUAACGUCGCAAGACCAAAGAGGGGGACCUUCGGGCCUCUUGCCAUCAGAUGUGCCCAGAUGGGAUUAGCUAGUAGGUGGGGUAACGGCUCACCUAGGCGACGAUCCCUAGCUGGUCUGAGAGGAUGACCAGCCACACUGGAACUGAGACACGGUCCAGACUCCUACGGGAGUCAGCAGUGGGGAAUAUUGCACAAUGGGCGCAAGCCUGAUGCAGCCAUGCCGCGUGUAUGAAGAAGGCCUUCGGGUUGUAAAGUACUUUCAGCGGGGAGGAAGGUGUUGUGGUUAAUAACCACAGCAAUUGGCGUUACCCGCAGAAGAAGCACCGGCUAACUCCGUGCCAGCCGCCGCCGUAA